rnacentral:rRNA from 1 species
CGCGUAGGCGGGUCAGCCAGUCCGGGGUGAAAUCCUUCGGCUUAACCGGAGAACUGCCUCGGAGACGACUGAUCUGGAGGGAGGUAGGGGUCGCUGGAACUUCCGGUGGAGCGGUGAAAUGCGUUGAUAUCGGAAGGAACGCCGGUGGCGAAAGCGAGCGACUGGACCUUUACUGACGCUGAGGCGCGAAAGCCAGGGAGCAAACG